rnacentral:ncRNA from 2 species
CCUAGGGCUUACGCCCUAGGCUAUUAAAGUACGCACCUACAGCGCU